GGAUAACCUACCCUUAGGACUGGGAUAACCCUGGGAAACUGGGGAUAAUACUAGAUAGGCAAUUUUUCCUGGAAUGGUUUUUUGUUUAAAUGUUUUUUCGCCUAAGGAUGGGUCUGCGGCUGAUUAGGUAGUUGGUUAGGUAACGGCUUACCAAGCCAUUGAUCGGUACGGGUUGUGAGAGCAAGAGCCCGGAGAUGGAACCUGAGACAAGGUUCCAGGCCCUACGGGGUGCAGCAGGCGCGAAACCUCCGCAAUGUGAGAAAUCGCGACGGGGGGAUCCCAAGUGCCAUUCUUAACGGGAUGGCUUUUCAUUAGUGUAAAGAGCUUUUGGAAUAAGGGCUGGGCAAGACCGGUGCCAGCCGCCGCGGUAACACCGGCAGCUCUAGUGGUAGCAGUUUUUAUUGGGCCUAAAGCGUCCGUAGCCGGUUUAAUAAGUCUCUGGUGAAAUCCUGUAGCUUAACUGUGGGAAUUGCUGGAGAUACUAUUAGACUUGAGACCGGGAGAGGUUAGAGGUACUCCCAGGGUAGAGGUGAAAUUCUGUAAUCCUGGGAGGACCGCCUGUUGCGAAGGCGUCUAACUGGAACGGUUCUGACGGUGAGGGACGAAAGUUAGGGGCGCGAACCGGAUUAGAUACCCGGGUAGUCCUAACUGUAAACGAUGCGGACUUGGUGU
rnacentral:rRNA from 1 species